AGAGUAUGCAAACUGCACUUUAAAGACAAUAUAUUUCUCAAUUAUGAACAUACAAGAUUAUAAUUGCAUGCUGUCCCAAAUUCUAUUUUUAGAAGAAAUUCUGAAGACGAGGCAGAGAAUACAGAGGCACAAAAUAAAAUUAUUACAAAGGUGCAACUAAAAAAGUGUAAUAGAAGAUACAAUUGAUUUUUUAUGUAAAGUCUUAUGUAUAUUCUUAAUAUUAUUUAUAUAAUGUCGUACAAAAAUCAUAUUUAGUAACUUGAAAUAAUGAAGAAAUUAUAAAACAGUAAAUACAUCAGCUUCAAAAGGAGCUACAAACAUCAUUAUCAUUAUUUGCAAGGUUUCCAAAAAA